rnacentral:lncRNA from 1 species
GGAGCUAUCAAAUUUCCAAAUUCAAAUGCUGGUUAAAAUAGUUUUACUACAAUCAAAAAUGUAAACAUAAAAUAAAACAUUUAACAAAGAAAUAUGUCUAUGCCUGGCACCUGCUUGGUAGAAAAUUGAAAUUUGAAAUGUUGAUGAACUGCAAAGUUAUGUUAUGAUAAGAGUAUUUUACUUUUCAAUGGUAACAAGGAUUUUGGGUUAAGGGGAAUGACUACGGUGUUAAAAGAAAAAAUACUAGAGUGAAGUUUUUGAGGGAAGAUUUAAUAAUCUCUUUAAUAAGACCUUUGAAACAUAAUGAUAUAUGACUGAAAGUAUAAAACCUUUAAAACUCAGGAAUCAACCCUUUUUGGGUAUAAAAUACUUGAAAAUUUCACAUUCUGAAUCAUGUGAAACUUCUGAAGCCAUAAAAAAAGAAUAAAUAGAUGUUAUGAGACAGUAUGUCAAAAGUUUAAUUAAUCAUAAUAAAGC